rnacentral:snRNA from 1 species
AUACUUUCCUGGUGCCGGGGACUCGUUGAUCACUGAGGACGAGCCCGCAGGGCGAGGCGUGGGAAGUGCACUGCGCUCGCGUUGACCCCUGCCACUAUCCCAAACUGGGGCAAAUUGGCGUGCAAAUC